AAUUUUUAAAUGUCAAAGGUCUAAAAAUUGUAGAAUAGAAAUGAAUUCCAUUGACGAAGAAUUACAGUUUUUUAUGUGUUUAUUAUGUAAAAUAUUGUAUGAAACUGUGCGUGAAGUACUUUUUGCGAACUUACGCGAUGUAUAGCACUCGCUCCGCUGUCGCUCUUGCUCUAAACAUCGCGUGCGUUCGCAAAAAGCAUAGGUACUUCACGAACUGUUUCAUAAAUAACUAUUUCCUCCGUCAUACUUUCUGCAGCAGAUUAUUUGAUCGGAAAAAAGAAAAUAGUAAGAAAUCUUAUAGGGGUAAACAAUCACUGUCAAGAUGCUAUUAGAAAAAAAUACUCACAUAGCUUUCAAUAUAUAAAAAAAAACAGAAAACACAAGAAAGUCUUCUGGAAUAUACGAAAUUAAGAGCUAUUAGUAGAAAAGUAGUAAAACAAGCAAUAAAGAAAUCGUGGAAAAUUUUUUAAAUCAAUAUUAAACAGUUUUACCCCAGCAGUAAUAAAUAGUGUGGAAACAAAUGAACAAAAUUGCGGGGGGCCACACAAACUCUUCAGUAAGAUAUUUAGAAUAUAAACAAAAUUCGAACAUCUAGAUAUGAGAUAGCUUUUUUCUAGUGAUGUUGGCGAUUUUACCCAUCUUAUUCUAUUCAUGGCAGCUCGAAAUAGGUCAACUGACGUUAAACCAGUUCAUUUCCUAAGAUUGGUCUGCCGAAUCUACGUCCAGGGCCAUAGGCGUAGCCAUGGGGGUUUUAACCCCCCCCCCCCAUUUGGUUGUACUUUGAGUUCUAUCGCUUAAAACCAUUACUAUUCCAUAUAUCCAAAGACUAUUCAGUAGUUGUAACUGUUAUAAAAUGAGUUAGGUGAGCUAACUAAAUGACCAUCAACGAUUAUAAUUUAUUCUUAAUUACAGGACAAUAGGAAACUUGACUGACAUUAUAUUUUAUAAUUUUCUGACAUUGACAUUACUUCUAUUAUCAAUACUGUCAUUACAUAGAGUAUGUACAACUAUAGAGCAACAUCUACUUUUAACGUUGUAUAUUGUAACACUCUCCCUCAACGUGAAAAGUAGAUAAGCCAAAAAAUUUUGGUUUCUUUCUAACACGCAUAUUGUAACGCUUAGAUUCUUAAACACCAUCAUCGCUUCUUUCUUCUCUAUUCACUUCUUGAUUUCACAAUUUCAUUGAUACCACUUUUCCCUUCUUUUCAUUUACACUAAAACAUUCCGACUGAUUCUGGUUAAGCGCGCCACGCACGGCGAGCUAAGCUAUAAUAUAUAUUUCAGAUUUCGGAUUUAUUCGCGCUGCAUGUCUCUUUGACUUUUGUUGGUGGAGACAAGAGACAGUUGACAAUUCCUGACUGUAAAUUGUCAGAUUUUUGGUUUGAUUGUUGUUUUUUUGCCAAAAACUUUUUGGUUAACUUAUUACUUAUUUAUUUUUAGAGGUGAUAAUACAUAUUUUUAUAUAAAUAUAACUAAAUCUUACAUUUUUUUAGUGGUAAAAAUAAGAUAAAAAAAUGAGUGAUCAUUUUACAUCCAUCCAGCGAUGAGAAUUUAGAAGGAAUUGACACUUAGGGAGUACCAAAAAAUUUAGAUUAUUUUGAGGAAACUGUGCCUUUGUUCGAUGGCGAUAAGUAUGUCCUGGAACAUUUUGGCAUCAUCAGAGUAAAAGUAGUAGAGAUGUUACAGGUCCAUUCAACACAUCCAAAAGUUGUUUACACAAAAUAGUAAGGAGAAUCACUUUUUUAUCUGCUGAAUACGUUCGUUGGCCAAAUGAGUAAAUGACAAUGAAAAACAGACUAUUUAAAGAUAUUUUCGUUAUUGCAAUUUCCCAGGGGGCUUAUGUGAAAAUCGAUAAACCAAAGGAAGAUCCAGAUUCAUAUUAAAAUAGGAACAAAAAUAUUCAAUACAGGCACAAAUGGUUUAUGAUCACGAGAAAAUGAUCAGGGAUAUAUUUGUUGUAUAUCCAGGUUCUGUACACUAUAGCAGAGUUUUAAGGAGAUCCAAUUUGUUUGCAGCUCUUCCACAAAGAUGUGGUGAAUACUAUAUUUUAGGUGAUAGUGAAUACACAUGUUUAAACAUUUUUUGACUCCAGUUAAAGACAAGGGUCAUUUAACAAGACAGUAAAGAAAUUAUAAUUAUUGUUCAAAAAUACAUAUGGGAUAGAGCAUUGUUUUGGAUUUCUCAAACAAAGAUUUAUAGGCAGCUGUAUCACCAUCCAUUAAGAAAUAUUAGAGAUAUAGUCCCAUUUAUAAGGGCUAGUGCAGUGUUACAUAACUUAGCAAUUGAUGAUAAUUUGCCCAUCAAUUGAAUGUUGAUGCACCUCAUCUUCUCAUUACCAACAAAUAUGAAAUUGAUGCUGUAUAUAGGUGGUGUUACAAAAAGAAAUUCAUGCAAGGUUUAAAUUUGAUUUUGUAAUAAUUGUGUUUAAUAAACUAUAUUCAGACACUUUCAAA
rnacentral:lncRNA from 1 species